rnacentral:lncRNA from 1 species
CUUUCUCAUUCACGUGAAUUAAAAUAAUAAGACUUGAAAAUUAAAAUUAAUAAAUUGGAUUUGAGAACAAAAAUAUUAACAUGCAAAAUAAAGUUGAUUCAAUUGACAAAAGAAAAAAAUGGAUGAAUGGAUGUUGUUGGGGGUUUACAAUUUCAUCUAUUCCGCUCUCUCUUACAUACUACCCUUGAAUAUUAGUUUGAUUGAUUCAAUUGUUAUGCGACUUUCUUAGCCUUCCCUUAACCCGAUCCCUCGGCGAAAAGGGCCUAAUAUUAACUACUGGCUUGCUAUCCCUAGCCUCCCCUAGUAAUUAAUACCGCAUUAUAAACAGAAGUUAGCGCAAUUUAUCGUCCUACCCCUAUCCCUAGGUGGUAUUGCAAAAUCAAGAAAUUACUCACCAGUUCGUGUCAUUAUUGUACGUCCCCAUAUCAAUAAAGACAAACAUCAGUUACCGAAUGAGUUAAACGAUAAAGGCCUUAAGCACAGAUGAUAACCCAACAAUAAUCAAUCAAAACAUAUGGAGACCAUAUAAAUAAUCAAGAGUUUCAAUAAAAGAGAGCAUCAAAAGAUUACAUUGUUUCCCCCAACAACAAUAGGGUUUAGUUCACCAUGGACAUGGUGAAACUAGAUGAAAAAUGGUAGAAGAAUGGAAAAGCAAACCCUAGGAAAGAUGAAAAGGAGCCUAAGCAUCCAAGAGAUCCUCUCCAGAGAGCAAAAUUAGGUCUGGCCAUUCUCCCCUGUCAAAAGAAUGAUUCUGAACUCGCAAUAGGGGUAUAUAUAGGUGAGAAGCGCAUCAGAAAACGGGCCCAAGUCCAGCGAGCCACCGCCGGGCGGUUUAAGUG